rnacentral:rRNA from 1 species
GAUGAACGCUGGCGGCGUGCCUAAUACAUGCAAGUCGAGCGAACAGAUGAGGAGCUUGCUCCUCUGACGUUAGCGGCGGACGGGUGAGUAACACGUGGAUAACCUACCUAUAAGACGGGUAUAACUUCGGGAAACCGGAGCUAAUACCGGAUAAUAUAUUGAACCGCAUGGUUCAAUAGUGAAAGACGGUUUUGCUGGCACUUAUAGAUGGAUCUGCGCCGCAUUAGCUAGUUGGUAAGGUAACGGCUUAUCAAGGCGACGAUGCGUGGCCGACCUGAGAGGGUGAUCGGCCGCACUGGAGCGGGGACACGGUCCAGGCUACUACGGGAGGCAGCAGUAGGGAAUGUUACGCAAUGGGCGAAAACAUGACGGAGCAACGCCGCGUGAGUGAUGAAGGUCUUCCGAUCGUAAAACCCUGUUAUUAGGGAAGAACCAAUGUGUCAGUAACUAUGCCCGUCUUGACGGUACCUAAUCAGAAAGCCACGGCUAACUACGUG